rnacentral:rRNA from 1 species
CAGUCGCCACGGUAAUACGUAGGUGGCAAGCGUUGUCCGGAAUUAUUGGGCGUAAAGGGCUCGCAGGCGGUUUCUUAAGUCUGAUGUGAAAGCCCCCGGCUCAACCGGGGAGGGUCAUUGGAAACUGGGAAACUUGAGUGCAGAAGAGGAGAGUGGAAUUUCACGUGUAGCGGUGAAAUGCGCAGAGAUGUGGAGGAACACCAGUGGCGAAGGCGACUCUCUGGUCUGUAACUGACGCUGAGGAGCGAAAGCGUGGGGAGCGAACAGGAUUAGAUACCCCAGUAGUCCCUGUCUCUUAUAA